AUUGAACGCUGGCGGCAGGCCUAACACAUGCAAGUCGAGCGAGCGGCGGACGGGUGCGUAAUGUUUGGGGACCUGCCCGUUAGCGGGGGAUAACUACUGGAAAAAGUGGCUAAUACCGCAUACUAUGGGAGCGGCGGAUUUCGGAUUAGCUAGGUGGUGGGGUAAAGGCUCACAAAGGCAAGGAUCCGUAGCUGGUUUGAGAGGACGACCAGCCACACUGGGACUGAGACACGGCCCAGACUCCUACGGGAGGCAGCAGUGGGGAAUUUUGGACAAUGGGGGAAACCCUGAUCCAGCCAUCCCGCGUGUAUGAGAAGGCCUUCGGGUUGUAAAGUACUUUUGGCAGAGAAGCGGUAUCUGCAGAAUAAGCACCGGCUAACUACGUGCCAGCAGCCGCGGUAAUAC
rnacentral:rRNA from 1 species